GGAGUGGUGGCUCAGUGGUUAAGAGCACUGACUGCUGUUCCAGAGAUUCUGAGUUCAAUUCCCAGCAAACCUC
rfam:Rattus norvegicus chromosome X, whole genome shotgun sequence.